UGGGGAAUCUUGCACAAUGGGGGCAACCCUGAUGCAGCGACGCCGCGUGAACGAUGAAGCCCUUCGGGGUGUAAAGUUCUUUCGGCAGGGAAGAUUAUGACGGUACCUGCAGAAGCAGCUGCGGCUAACUACGUGCCAGCAGCCGCGGUAAUACGUAGGCAGCGAGCGUUGUUCGGAGUUACUGGGCGUAAAGGGUGUGUAGGCGGUUGUUUAAGUUUGGCGUGAAAUCUCCCGGCUCAACUGGGAGGGUGCGUCGAAUACUGAAUGACUUGGAGUGUGGGAGAGGUGAGUGGAAUUCCUGGUGUAGCGGUGAAAUGCGUAGAUAUCAGGAGGAACACCGGUGGUGUAGACGGCUCACUGGACCAUAACUGACGCUGAGACACGAAAGCGUGGGUAGCAAACA
rnacentral:rRNA from 1 species